ensembl:lncRNA
GAAGAAUAUAGCCAAUGUCUUCCUGAUGGUCAUGGAAUAUUUUAAAAAAAUAAUAUAAGAAGGAUUGUUUAUGAUCUAAUGCCUACAGCUGGGAUAUAUUUCAAAUCGCCUUUUUAUAUGUAGAAUCUCCUAAUUUUUUUUUUUCUUAUUAAACUUGAAAAUCGGAAGUCAUGUAAAAUGCCACAAGCACUAGAUUCAGGAUGAAAUUCUAGAAAAAUCCAUCACGCUUCCUCACCAGCCCAGCUCUGCUUUGCUUAUGAGCCCUGACAAGAUCACAGCUUGAGAAGUGAGAGAAGACGAGGUCUGAAAACAAAGUACAAGACUUUUGCUGCCUUGCUAGAGGUGUUUGCAUGCAGUUCUGGGAAGAUAUUUUAAAUUCAUGUGCUUUAAGUGGUG